CAUGGUUUCGCCAUUUUUGCGACCGUUAGGUUGUUUUUCCGUUUCGCGGUAUGGAAAUGCCUUUAGAAAUGGAAAUGUGCUAAUUUAAUCAAGUUUAUCUAUCUGUGAAGUUUUCUCUUGUGAUGAUUAUGUUCAAGAAGAGCGCGGAAGGCCGACGACGCAACAGAACGAGCAACUCAACGCAGUUGUGUGGUUGCACCUGUGUGGGCGAGGUAAAUCCACUAUGAAAAGACCCUGAAGUGACGCCUUCAGGAUGCCGAAAAUAAUUAUGACUACAUGUGCUCCCAGUACAAGGGGUGGCCCUCCAGGCACUGACGACCAGCAUGUCAUCUCUGCUGUGCUGUCGAGGGAAAUUUAAAGG
rnacentral:lncRNA from 1 species